GAUGAACGCUGGCGGCGUGCCUAAUACAUGCAAGUCGAGCGAACAGACGAGGAGCUUGCUCCUCUGACGUUAGCGGCGGACGGGUGAGUAACACGUGGAUAACCUACCUAUAAGACUGGGAUAACUUCGGGAAACCGGAGCUAAUACCGGAUAAUAUAUUGAACCGCAUGGUUCAAUAGUGAAAGACGGUUUUGCUUUCACUUAUAGAUGGAUCCGCGCCGCAUUAGCUAGUUGGUAAGGUAACGGCUUACCAAGGCAACGAUGCGUAGCCGACCUGAGAGGGUGGUCGGCCACACUGGAACUGAGACACGGUCCAGACUCCUACGGGAGGCAGCAGUAGGGAAUCUUCCGCAAUGGGCGAAAGCCUGACGGAGCAACGCCGCGUGAGUGAUGAAGGUCUUCGGAUCGUAAAACUCUGUUAUUAGGGAAGAACAAAUGUGUAAGUAACUAUGCACGUCUUGACGGUACCUAAUCAGAAAGCCACGGCUAACUACGUG
rnacentral:rRNA from 1 species